UCGGUCGCGAGGCCGAAUCUGAAGGAAGCCGGGACAAACCCUCGGUCUGACGAACAGAAAUCACAUAGAAGGCAUGGUGAGAGGAAUGAGCUUGAAUGUUCUUGUC
rfam:Paenibacillus sp. FSL H7-0331 NODE_79_length_12458_cov_0.972004_ID_12265, whole genome shotgun sequence.